rnacentral:rRNA from 1 species
GACGAACGCUGGCGGCGUGCUUAACACAUGCAAGUCGAACGAAGUGGCGAACGGGUGAGUAACGCGUAAUCAACAUGCCCUUCAGGGGGGGACAACAGUUGGAAACGACUGUUAAUACCGCAAACCGAAGGAGGGGAAUGCGUCUGAUUAGCUAGGUGGGGGGGUAACUGCCCACCAAGGCUAUGAGCAGUUGCCGGCCUGAGAGGAUGGACGGCCCCCUGGGGACUGGGACACGGCCCAGACUCCUUCGGGGGUGCGCAGUGGGGAAUCUUCCGCAAUUGACGAAAGUCUUACGGCGCAACGCCGCGUGAGUGAUUACGGCCUUCGGGUUUUAAAGCUCUGUUAAUCGGGACGCGGUACCGGAAUAGAAAGCCACGGCUAACUACGUGCCAGCAGCCGCGGUAAUUC